CAGGAACCAAGAGCAAAAUCGGACUGCGUCACAGAUGUAACAUGACCAUCGGCAAAACAAGUGCAGAAAGAGAUCAUGGCUGUCUCGUCAGUCAGAGAGCCUUCCUUCGAUAUCAAAGGAGAAUAAGAUGGGACCACCGUUGUUGCUGCUAUUCCUGUUGUUCCCCUGCUCUGCGGAACUGGCGCUGCAGGAGGCAAGGAUGCUCCAAGGGAGCCAGCUACAGCCAGCGAAGGCUCAACUGCCGUUCAGAGGACAGGCUGCUGCUGAAGUAAUGGAGACGGCGGACGCAGUAUGUUUGAGGCGGUUCUGAACCCAGCGGUUGUUGCUAAACAACCGGACCUGACGCUUGAGAUGUCAGCGAGUGAGUAAUAUAGAUUAAAUGCUUAUGCUACCGUAUCCUUAAACUUGUUUAAGCCUCGAUAUGAUGAAAAGCUAUGGAAUAAUGUUCCCUGCCAUAUGAGAAAGCAAAGUUACCACUCCACUGCAUAAUCAGGAGACUUCCUCGGCCAGAAGGACCAAGCCCAAAGCCGGUUGUGUCCUCAGCACUUCCAGGCAGAGUUGCCAUCUUCUUUGCUGGUUGCUUUAAGAAGAGAGGUGAAAAAAUAGUAUAGUAAAUGGUUAAGAGAGAAAAAUGCUCUCCCCUUCAUUUCCUCAUCCUCUCUCUGGAGCUGCUUUCUGCCCUCAGUCUCCCAUUCAUCCUUACCCAGCCCUUCCCAAUCCUCCUGCAAUCCCUGCUUUCUAACGCUGCUAUUUCCUUUGCAAACCUUUACAGUGCCGUCACUUAGGGCUGCCUUCAGCUCUCUCUGGUGUUGCCGAGCCUGUGGCAAACUCACACUUAUGCAAAUGAAAGCUGAGUUUGGGCAAGAGUCUUUUUCACUUCUUUAAUUAUUCCCACAACAUAAUUUCCAGGUCCAAUCCCUGCCCCGAGCAGUUUACAGUCCUGCUAACACUUAAUCACCUUAUAAGGGAGAAGGAGGACAGCAAGCGAGCGAGGAGAAAAGCCCCAAACCCCAUUACUUUCCCCUUCCCCGCGGUUUGCAGCUCUGACACGUCAUCGUCGCAACUGCACGGCGAAACGAAACCUCCCCGGCCCCCGCGCGGGGGGCACCCACGGGUGCGGGGAUCAGGCUCCCGCUGCAGCGAGGAGUUAACUGCUGCCUUCCCGCCCGCCGCCCCUGCCCGGGGGGCGCCCAGCAGCCCCGGGAGCCGCGGCGGGCAGGGAGCGGGCAGGGAGCGGGCAGGGAGCUGCCGGCACUUUGAAGCAAGUGAAAUCAACGUUGAGAUUUGACACCCAGUCCUCGACCAAUCCGGGAGGGCUUUUCACCUGCCAUCACCUCCUCCGCCAAUCGGACGGCGCCUUUGGGCUGAGAGCCCUCCCCGGCCAAUGGGGAGCCAGCUCUGCCACUUAGUUAAUGAUGCAGCAGUACAGGGAAGACUAUCACAUGUGAGCUGGAAGGCUGCCAACAUGGAGACACGGAGAGAGCAAGCUGGUGUGGAAGCGUCUGGAAGGCACCGUCUACCUGUCCCCAGUGCUUUUAAAAACUGGACGACAUGCCCUGCAAUGAUCACUGCGUCACCGUUUACCACUUUCCGAACUACGCAGUGACAAACCUCCAAGCACUGAAACGCAGAGCGCCUGUUAACCCCUCCACCGAACCCUCGCCAACAUGCCAGCCUUUAGAGAGACCGGGGGGGGAUAAAAAGCCCAAACAAAACAUGAAAACAGCAGUCUUUGCAAAGUUGUCAUCUCUCCCCCACGACUACUACCCUCCUCUGCAGUACAGCAAUGCCGGCAAGAGUGACAUUAGUACAACCUGUGCCGUCGUUCCAUUGAGAAAACAGCUCUGACGCAGAACAGAGCAAUCAUACCCAGCCAAAAUAAUAAUAAAGGCACUCUGGGAUCCGAACUUAGGGACGCCGGGGGAAAGGGAUGCCCUGCAAAUAAUUAAAAUACGUAGAUGCAGCUCAAGCCCCAUCCUGAUCAAAGGGUACGUACGUGGGAAAGACGAACUGGACCGAAGAGCUCUGCCCGUGCACCAUCUGCGCAGUCCUCAGCCCUCCGCUCGCUGUGUAGCGCCGCAGAAUAGAAGGUUCCAGAAAUUUCCUUUCCGUUAACCCUUUCGGUGUCUGCCCACUCUCCCUCCCCGCGGGAUUAAGCGCGCCAGGUCUCCAGCAUCGUCAAUGGGCGAAGCCUCCUACGCCAACCGAGCCCAAAUCCGAUCUUUAAAUGACACUGGGUGGUGGCAGGAGCCCAGUCCCUGGUGUUGGUGUUACUUCUCUUUCUGGAGCCCUCUCUGCCUCUCUUGCUGCCUCUCUCCCCUCUUGCUGCAGCAGGGCUGUUGCUGGUAGACCUAUCGACGGAGCUUGCUCUCUCACUCUCUCGCUGAGCUCUGUGACGCAGCUCUAAAUUCUCCAGCCUGCUCCCUGUGUUAUAAGAGCGGAACUGCAGCUUUCCAGGGAGCCCGUGCCAGCGGUGCCAGGGCCAGGCAAACCGAGGGGAACGUCGCUCCUGGACUCUGCACCUUUUUUUGCGUCUGAAGAGCCUGAGCUAUUUUGGGAUUUGUCUGUACUACACUGAAAAUGACACCUGUUACGCACAGGCACAAAUGAGAAGAAUUGCAAGCUCCCGGUUUCUCAGAUAUGAUUCUACAAAAAAAGGAAAAGGAUCCUGUCAGCUAGGGACCUGGGAGAGCAGGGCAGGCUCUCGGCAGGGGGAUGAAGGGGAUGACCCUCGCGAUUUGAACAGUCAGGCACCAGGACAGAAAAUGUAAAAGGUCUGUUGUAGCUGAUGCAAGCGGAAAUCAAACCUCCGUGUGACCAAAAGAAGUAGUGCUUGAUCAACUAAAUGCCACAAGACAUGGUUUCUUAUGCAAUCAAACCCCUGGGACUUCAAGCCUUACAUAUACGCCUUGUGGCCAAAGCUGCAAGCAUUAACUGCUUCAGUUAAUGAAGGUAAAAUUGUAAGAGCGCUGCGGCUACUUAAAUGAGUCACCCAGCAGUGAUACUCGCUAAAGUAGGCCAGUGUUGUAUGCGAUGUUCAGCUGUCUGUGCUGGUUUCAGUUACCCCUGAGUUAUCUCAGCAGCUCCACCAACACGCAGGGUCAGAGCGGAUUUUCCGCAUUCCCCGUUUUCCCCGUCAGCGUGCGGCUGAUUUACAACGCACCGCUUCUGUGCAGACGAGACAGAGGCCAUCUCGCUGGACCUGCGAGACCCAGCGAAGCUCUGAACGUGAUUGCGUACGGCACUGGAGCAAGAUAAAAGACUCGGAGGCUCAGAAAUGGAACAGUUGACUAGUGCUUUUAGCUCACAGCGAUUUUGUCAGUCUCGUGGUACAUUAAGAAAGUAAAAUGCAGCUUUGAUUUAUUUCAAAUUAUAUCUUUUUGGCUGCUUUUAGGGGAAAGGCAGCAUUUAUUUUAUGGUUUACUUUCAUUUGAAAAUGACCAGCCAUGGAACGUUUCUACCUUUACUGGACUGUAAGUAUUUACUUUACGGUGGUACUGACUCCCAAGAAGACUCAAAGCCACGCUGCACUGCGAAACGCUCAAGUGCGCAACUAAUAAAACAUGGCACGAUGGAAAGUUUCAGCACUUGGAACUGAAUAAUGAGGCCCAAAAAACCAGUGUCUUCUCGCACAGUUGAGUCAGUUAAAUGUUGGACAGGCUUUGGCAUUUUCUGUGAGCUGAAGCAAGGAAAUAGAGGCCGUGAUUCCAUGGUAGAAAUCUGUGCUGCUUUUCUGGUUUAAGUGGAGCCCACGAACAUGUUUUGUUACUACUUUCCCCCCCCCCCCCCCUCCAAACUUUUGUCUAAAAGCAGGAAGCAGAACCUUGGUUUUGUAAAAACUGACUAUGAGGAAGCAAAGUCCCAGCCUAGAAAGCAAGCUUGGUAAAUGGAACUAAUCCACAGCCGCGGUGGGAGGCAGGGGAGAUCAGUCUCACCGAGCAAACGUAGUGUAAGUAUCCGUCCCGAAGCGAGGGGUGACCUAAUGGCUGACUGCAGCUGUGCCUUGGGUGCUUGCAAUGCUGAUUAAAACCCCCAAAAGUUUCGAUAGUGCUAGACGAUGUAAUAAGGUGUCAGGACUUACAGCUUGACCGGUUCAGGCUGGGUGUUAGGGGAAAAAUAAAUCUCUUCAGGAGGGUGGGAGGGACUGAACCCCCAAGACUACUGUCAAUUGACAGUUUCCCUCGGCAUCACGAAAGGAUCAGGGAGCAGAGGAAGCGUGGCCUUGCUACAGCUUGUGUUCCAAAGUGUAUGUAAAGGUGCAUCCUCGGUUCUCUGGCAUCUCCCACGCGAUUUUCUGCUGUCAUGCUACAAUGACCUUAAUAGCAAUACCAUAUGGAGGCUGACGUUACAAAACUCUAACCCUCAUGCACGUCAUCUAAUACCUUAUCGGUGCUGUGGGUGAUAAAAUAACCUCGGCCAUCCACGGAGGAAGGUCCUCGGUCUUUUUAAUGAGGAAUGAAACCCUCGUGGUACCACCCGCACUUUCAGCUUCCUGGUGGUGAAGCCUUGGCUCAGGUUUCAGUUUAAAUGCCAUCGGCCACACCUUCCUCCGACUACAGGAAACUGUGAUUGUUAAAAUCAGGGCAUGUUCCUAUUUAACUAAAAGGCUGAGCUCAGAUAAUCCAAAGGCCUCGAAUAUGCCAAACAAAUUCCUGCCCAAGACACAGCAAGUCUGUGCAGCUGUAAAUUUAUAACCCCUCGACCUCAAUAUCCAUGUAAAUGACAUCUCGGCACAUCACCUCGGGGAGCGGUUGGUAAUAAAGAGAAGGAGCAAAGAAUCAGGCAAGGGCCACAGGGGAAGGUAGAAGUUAACAGUAAUAAUGCUUAGCAGCGUGUUCUUCAGUUUACCACCCAAAAGUCCUGAAAGUUCCUUUAAAAUGCAAAAUAGUACAUUUUUCAAAUGAUGACGUGGGAUAGCUCUUUUGCAGAAGGUGGGAUUUGUCAGCGCUACCUCUUCCUCUCGGAACACUCACAACCCCAGCGAAACAGUGUUUUCCAACAAAAAUCUGUCCCAGCCAGCUCCGUUCAAGGAGUAUCAGCAGAAACAGUAAGAUGAUGGCCCAUCUGUCAGGACUGUUUCCCCUAACCCUGACCAGGCAGAGGGUGAUUAAUUUUUAAAAUUGUCUUUUAAUCUGAAUUUUGUACUAGUAAAUGGUCCUUAAAAAAGAAUCCUUACUUAAUUCUUUGCUAAAGUAAAACAAUUGUCUACAUUGACUGCAAAUAAAGAUGUAGUGUUAGUUGUAACCUUCGGGAACUGGUAAGUUUUUAAUGUUUGCUUAUUUAAAAUUAAUACAAUUUUGCACAGAGGAAGACUGAAUUAAAAAAGGGUUAAAUAAUUUGACCCACAUUGUAUGUGGAAUCAGCAUCAGUGCUGCUAUGGAAGUUCGGGAGUUCCUUGCUCCCAGAUUUUACUUAGGUUGGGCCUCUUGCUUAAUUAUAGACCUUAUUGCCCAGACGGCCCCCAGUCAUUAGUGAGCCGUAACCGACAUCUCGAACAGAAGCUGCCGAAACAGUGUGGCUUUUAGAGGAAAUUGAUAGGAAAUUAUUUCGAGGAGGUACUUUCAUUUUUCAGAGAAAAGCAGAAAUAAGACUUCAAAGCCUUCCAUCUGUUUUCACAUGUGCAGGGACAAUCCGUGGUUUUACAGGGCCAUCCUAACAGUCGCCAGGACGUGCAGGUUUCCAGGAAACUGGAGACUGGCAACUCCAGAAUAGGAGUAUUUGCUAACACGGCUCCCAAAGUCCAUGACGGUGUGCCACGCAUCAGGCUUUGUUCCACUGUGACAAUAGAAAAGUUACAGAUUCACAACAAACAUUUAAGUUUAAGGGUUUUUUUUUUCCCGAAAGGUUUAUUGUUUUCCAGCCGAGUUUCAUUAGUGAAUGCCAGAGAAAUGGCUUUGCAAUAUUUUCAGCACUGCCUGUUCAUUGCUAGCCCAGUGCAUAUGCAUGCUAUUAAACUCACUGGGGUCCCAACCAACAGGAGGAAGAGCAGGCAGGUGUAUAGCAAGAAAAAAACCCUUCUGAAACAGUUUUAAAGUUGAUUCUGUGCACCUGCUUGGGCGUGCACAGCUGACUGCGCAAAGGUCGGGCUGGGGAUUUUCAUAGUGCUCUUUGGGGGGUGGUUCAAGGGAAUUAGAUGGAAUAGCUGGUGCUGAGAUCAAAAGGCUGCAAAGCCAGAGGUGUGGGUUCGUUCCCAAGAGCUGCCGGGGUUGUGUUGGUAUUGGGUACUGGCAUUUGCAUAAAGCACUUGCAUUCUUUGUGCAAGCCUAGCCCACGCAAUACAGCAAGCACUGAAAUGGAAACCUGCAGGUGAAAACCUGGCCCUCCCUUUGAAAAGCUGGAGUCCUGGAAUUUACCCUGUGAAGCCUAAGAAAAUCCCAGCUGGAAUUGCUGAGCUCCUUCCCAAAGGGGUGGCACCGCAUCAACAUACGAGCUGCUUCAAAGCAGAGCUUACGCCCUGGGUUGAAGCUGGGUUCGAGGUAUUUAGCACCCUCGACCGACAGCUCUGCUCGCUCUGCCCGCUGGCUCGCAGCGUUCCUGGUCAGCACGGUGACAGAAGCGCUGCCCGGAGGUCGGCGUGGCGGCUCCGCAGACCCCGGCCGCUCUGCCCGCCGUGGGAGAGGGAGCGGGGGCAGCCAGGCUCCCCGAGCUGCAGGUUUUGCUCGGUUCCAAAUCUAAGGAGCCAGCAGCGCUGAGACAAAAGAGAGCAUCUUCCCAGUCACGAGGCAGUGGACCACCCUCACGCUUCCCACCCGUCGGAGAGCACGGCUGUCGCAAGGAAAACUUCAGCUAGACCCGGUGCCCCUGCGCUGCUCAAAGGUACUGUUCCCCUGCCCGGGAAGGGACGCGGCCCUCGGGGAGGCACCGAGCCCGCCUCCCAGCGCCCUGCUUGCCGGCCCUCCGGCCGGGCUCACGCGGGGCACGAGUAUUUGCAAAAGCCAAACAUUACCGGGGGUGGGGGGGGGAGCAGGGCGGAGGAAUCGAUUGAUCUCCAGCCAACUGUGUGUCGUGGCGUUUUCCUAACUGCUAAUCUUACUUGAAGUUCCCUUUACAAAUACAUUAUAAGGUUACGCAUGAACAGCGGGUAUUUAAAUAUGGGAUCGGUAAAUGACCAGGUGCUCAGCUGGCCGUUCAUCGACAUCUUUAACAUCUUCCUCUGAUGCUAUUUAGCAAAAAUCAUACUGGUAUCCCUGCGUGUUUUCACUCCCUGUAGCUUGGAAGAGGCAAUUUUCUUUCCGUGCUGUUUGUGCAGCCCAGGGUACAACACAUUCCUGAUCUAUGACUAGGUUUCCAAACUACAUAGUAAAAUGAAUAAUAAUGAUAGUAAAAGUUGUACAACUUCUUUUAUACGGCAACCUUUCUGUUACUUUAGUAAUGGAAAUUCCAGCUGUUGUUCAUGGAGGAAAAAAAGGUUUGUUUUUUGUGAAAACCACCUACACCCAACUGAAACAAAACCAAAAAACCAACAGAUUGAAGGUGUAAAAGAAAAAUUUUGUAUCAAUCCUGGGUGCAACUGCAUUAAGAGUUGAGCUAGAUAGAAUUAAACAUCUCAGCUGGAGCACGGACAGGGCACCAGACAGCUUGCUAAAAAUAGAUUAAUCCUAAUUACAGCCACACUUCUGCUUUUUCAAGGCUUCCCGUUUCACGUGGGGACGCAGAGGCUGUGAACAGAGAGGGGGAUCGGUGCCCGGCGCGGCAGCAGAGGGGACGGGGGGCACAUGCCGCCGGUAUUGCAUAACCGCGGGAACACGCCGUCCUCCGGCGGGAGCGACGGCAGCGUCCAGCCUUCGGCUGCAGGCUUAGCCCAGCGCCCGGCCCUGCGAAUCCCCUCUCCCCGGUUAGCAAAACCAGACUAAACCCCUGGAAAACAGGGUUUCAGGUAACGUGUGCUUUGGUGGUUGAAGAUUUAAACAUCUCCACCUUCUGUGAGCUCCCCGAACCACCGGCAGCCCCGGGGGAGCUCGGUCCUGUGCCCGAGCUGCCGGUGCAGGUAAAACCCCCCCGGAGCGGUCCCGUGCGCUGGUAUGUCCCGUAGGAGCUGCCAUAAAUCCCUCUUGGAUUUAUUUCCUCCUGGACAACACUGACACAGAGGGCUGACUUAGUAUCUCGUAAGCAGAAUUACAAAACGUUUAGUAUGAAAAAAAUGUAUAUAAGCCUCUGCUUUCCAAAUUAUGGUAGCUUAUUUCUCCCGUAAAGCCUAUGAAACUAUGGAAAACAACUAUUUUCCCGCCUUAAAGAAUGUGUAUUAAUCGCCGACUUAAAUAUUUAACCAGCAAAAUAUACUGCUUCAGCUAGAAUAACUUAGCUUUGUUUUAUCAGAAAUAGGAGUUUCUGAUGUCAGAAGCAGGAGUCACUGCUAUGGUUUUCUCGUUUCUGUACCAGUAAUCGCCAGGUAAGCACGAGGGCCCCUCUGCUUGAGGGGGGUCUCGCCCUGCACACAUCGCUGCUGCUGCGAACAACAGCCAGCGACUGAAAGACCUUCUAGCCGGUAAAACAAAGGAAAAGUUCAUCAACCGCUCCUUCAGUAUCUUGGAUUCAAGUAACUGAGGAACAACUCUCCCACAAAAACAAGGGCAAUAGCGUUGAGUUUCAUUUAAAGUGUCCAACUGAGCCUGUUUGGAUGUUUUGGAAAAAAAUAACAAGUCCUGCCACCUCUAGGACCAUCGCAGCCAUCACCAAGGGCAGGAUCUGAAAUGCCGGCAGCCCUGCGUGCAGGGCUGUCAGCCCUGGACUGGGACUGGGACUGGGACUCGGUGGCACGGUGCUGGUCGGCUGCCUCCCCCGCAGGAACAGCGGCGCUUACGGCCCGGCCGGGCGGCUCUCGGAGAAAAGGAGAGCUACAAAGAGGGUGUCUGGAACAUCCCCUGUCAGUUUUGAGCAGGACUGACACUUCAGGAAAUGGUACUUUUGCUUACAGCUCAUCAGAAAAGAUUUCAUUUUGCACUUUUGAGAUUCACUUGCCCUCUGCACUGAAACGCAGAUCCAGGAUUUGGGGCUUGCUCUUUGUGUUUUUAAUUAAAUAAGAAAGAUGUGCUGCAGAACAGCCGUACCUUUGGGCUGAUGGGUGCUCACCUGGGCUGGGAGAAAUCCGCCUGCACAUCCCUGCUUUGAUCUCCACGGAAGUUGGUCUUGCAGCUCCAGUCUCUGGUAUCCCAGCUGAGUUUGUAGCAGGGUUCUUGGCUGUCCCGCAGUCCGGGAUGUCAGUCCUGCCGUCACCUCCCAGCUCCCUGGAGUUACACCCUGGGGACAAGAAAAAUCUCCCAUUAAAAAGUUUUGCCAACCUUAAUAUGACAAAGCAAUAUUUUCCAAUCGGGAAAUGAAUAAACAGGGAAAAAUGUGUUUAGACAUUCCUAAGCAGCUUCCUUAGCGUCACUGUGCCGCCAGCAGACUGUGGCUGCCAGCAGACCUCCUCCUGUCCCCGCUGCUUUACGGGAUGCACCUACCGAAGGGCGGUGGUGCUGCGUGUGUGCAGAGAGGCUUGGCCGUGACUUGGAAGCACCUAUGGGUACGAGGGCACAUCUCGCUGAACGCCUGUGUCUGCCACCCCUGCCUGGAGUGACUGCUUUCAUAAGCAUAGCGAGAGAUUGGGAAAUCUGCUGUGAUUCAUGCGAAUCGCUCCAGUCCCCGCGCCCACCCCCGGCACAGCACCCACGAGCGCCCAGGAGCUGCCAGACGCACGCAGAGCGAGCACCACGCCUGCCUGCAGCUCGUCAGCAACCAUCGGCUGCCAGGACACUCCCAGAGUAUUUAAAACUCGAUGCCACAAAUUAUUUGUCCUUAUCUGAAAAAUUCCUGAAAUGCUUUUUAUUUUUGUUACUGAAAAUUAUCAUAUUCCGAGCUCAGCUGAAUAAACCGACCCUGUCGCCAGCUGCGGGGCUUUGCUGUCCGUGCUGGGUUUGGUGCUGGCAGGUACUGCCUGAAUUUUAUCUCUGUCUCUUGUUUCAGCCUUGAAACUGGGAUUGUAAAUUAUUUUGGCCAAGGAUAAACUGUCUUUGCUUGUACAGCACUGAGCCACACCGGCCUCUGGGUCUCAGCUGAGGCUUCUAGACGGUUCUAAAAAUAAGUAAUUAUGAGGUAUUAUCUUUUAAAAAUACUUGUAAAAAAGAGGGAACAGAAAGAGACUCCUUUCCCAGCUGUUUUCUCCUCAAACUGCCAAGAUUUUUUUUUUUUAAACUGUGUCUUUUUGGUCAGUUCUCUUCUGCAGCCGUUCAUAAAACAAGGGUACACGACAGUUUAAAUGUUAGGACAGGUAUUUUGCACUUGCAUAGCAGUAAUCAUUUGAAAACCACCAGUAAAUUCUAAAAUCCAAGCGAUUAACAAAAUAAAAAUUAAUUAAUCUCAAAAAAUUGUUUUAUGCACAAGUUGAUUACUCUUCCCAGCAAGAAAUUAUUUUGCUAAUAAAUCUCAAUUAGAGGUUGAGGUUUUCCUUUCUUUUUUUUUUUUUUUAAGAAAAAAUAGAUAUUGUCAUUUUUCAAGGUAUUUUGGAUUAUUUUUCUUACGUGGCCAAUUCUGAUUAGUCACAUUAGUUGCACUGCAGAUUUUUUUUUCUCUUUCCAGAAUGGGAGACCUUUGGAGUGAUUCCUUUGUAUAAUUCGUAAGUAGAAAACAAAACAUUAAACAUUACAAAACAAAACAGAUGAAAACACUUUCAGCUUUGCUCAUGUUCCUGCCAACUAUUUUCCUUUUAAAAAAAAAACCCACACAAACCAGCUCUUCUCAGCCCGUACGUGACUGUAUCGGUUUACUCCUUUAAAGGGGAAGGGAGAGCUGAGGAUUAGUGCUCAGUCUGCUGGGAGGGCCAGCGCCUAAGAAAUGGCAAGGACUGGUUUUAAGCCUCCAAGCCAGCUUCUAUUCUCCUAUAUACUAUUUCUCCUCCAGAAAACCAAGGCAAUAAGAAUACAUUGUGAUGAAGGUGCAAACUUAUAAGACUUCUUUAAAUACAUACUUUGAACACCAAAGGUCAGCCGUAUUAUUAAGAGAUUCACAGCGUGAACGCCAUUCAUCUGCCCACCGACACGAGCCUUGCUCUUCCGAUCUGUUCCCACGCAUCGCUUUUCCUUCCUUAGAGCUGGACCAUCAAAACGAGGGGUGCAAUACUUCAAAAGCCAAGAGUGUAUUGUGUUUCCAGUAUUAUGAUGGAAUAUCUAUAUGAAAAUAUAAUAUUUCCAAAUAUUUCCAGCAGGCCCUUUACCUCCUCUUCGUCGAUACCUGCAGUUUCUUUCUUUGGGAGACAGCAACAGCUUGUGCUGGGCAGCGCGCAGAAAUGAGCCUGGCAGAACUGUCCUCCCCAGGCUUCGGUACGGCCGUCCCGUGCUGCAGGUUACUGCGGAAGAGAAAUAGCAGCAUCCCAAAGCGGUUUCGUGGAGCUUCCAAACCCACCUGUGAGUAACGGCUGUGCUCGGGGUAGAAGCUUCUUUUUUUUUUUUCCUCUUUUUUUUUUCCACUCCAGGCUUCACUUGCUCCUUGUUGGCCUGGGAGGUUUUCACCUAGUCCUGAAGAUGAUCGUGCUCUGGGGACACUCAGAACUGCCAGAAAUGUUGCAUCAGAGUCUGUAUCAGCUCCAGCCCUCCGGUCCAUCUGAAGGCAUCUGCUUCACCUCCGAGAUGCAACCAUGGUCGAGAGGACCGCUGUUUCCAACGCAAUUCUGGCGGAGGCCGAGUGGGAGGUGGGGAGAAGGCAGAGGAAGAGCAGGAUACCGGAGCAGUUCAGGCACAAUCCCGGCUCUCAGCAGUACGAUCAGCUCCUUGGCAACAGGAGGAAGGUGUGUCAGGGUGGGUUCCGGCUCCAGCUCCAGGAGAGAGGAGCAUCACCGCUAACGGGGCUUGUCUAAUUUUGCCGUGGAGCACUUGAAAAGAGAGAAUAAAGUAACAGCCUCUUACUGAGUGCGUUACGCGGCAGCAUGAGGUCCUUUGCUGUCCGUUUUUAUAAAACAGCUUUCAUACAACAGCACUGAGUUUAAUUGUGUUCAAGAGAAAGUAAGUUGCCUUUACCGACCUUCAGCCUGCACAGGAAUUUCUCGUGUGGAGAGGGAAGAUGGCCGGUACCAUGAACGGAGAGAACAGAUUUGGGGUUGGGCUAGAUGAUCUUUGAAGGCCCCUUCCAACCCAAAUCAUCCUCUGAUUCCUUGAUUCGAAAUGCCUCGGCCUUUUAGACUAUCUCGUGGUAUUUCGCAGUUGCCACUCUUUAGGAGGUACUGUCCAUCUACUUGAUCAGAACAACGGUUAUUCCUCAAAAGAGGAGUAGGCCUUGAAACCUCCCGAAACCUAAAUCAUUAGAAAGGUUUUACAAGACUUUGCCGUCUUUUAUACAAGACUUUGCUGCACUUGUACACUAAACUAUCGGUAAUGAGAAGCUAAAGAGUUAAAUCAAAAUCGGAGCGAUCCAACAGAGUCUCAUAAAGUCUUUAAAACCAAGGUAAAGGGAAGAGAUUAAUGUAUCUUAAAUAAUGAAAAAUACAUGGAUUCUAAAAUUAUUAUUGAAUGGAUUCUUAGUAGUAAUAUUAGAAGAAAAGUCAUUUCUAAGCAGUCGAAGACUGCUGAUCUGGCAGUCCUAUGCUGUAACUAUGAUAAUCCUGGUUGCAUGGAGGCUCGAAGACACUAAUUCCAGUUAGUUUUACAUUGGGUGUGUCACCUCACACACAGAGGAGGACAGAAAACACAUCUAUAUAAUUUUGUAAACAGACAAACAUGGUUUCCACACUCCUUUUGGUGUUGCACAAUAGUACCGAAGGGGUUAGGUUCAUCUCUGAAGUGAAGAAUUGCACAAAAAAGUAAAGGCUGCUGUAAAUGAGCCAUCAAGAACCAUCCCCACAUGAACAGAGUUGCCCAGGAGAUGUGAUGGGCACCCAGCGACGGGCUGUGAACUGUCAGGGACCGGCAGCCAAAGCAGAGCAUGGGGAACAAAACUGCGAGAUGUCGGCAGACGGUGGUGAUUCUGCGUCCCCGUGCAAAGACACAAAGAAUUGCUGCGUGGCUCGGGGCGGGAAGGGAAGCUGUGAUCCCAACCGCAGCACAUGCGCCGACCUUGCUGCUCUGGGCUGAUCCGUUUGCCUACAGUCCCCAACCAACGAUAACCCAGUAAUAGAGCUUUUCUCCUUUUGAAAAUGCUGUCCGGUGAGUCUGCCCACAUCUGUAGGACGUUCAGCUUUCGAAGAGCUAUAUCUGUGGCAGGGUAAAAAGUCCAGGGUAUUCAUCAGAAUUCAGGAGUCUCUGAAAUGGGAGCUUGUGCAAGGAAGUGUCUUCUGGCAUUUAGGGUACCCCAUUUCGGUCAUCAACAGGGCGAGAAGAGAGGUGCUUGAGGGGGAAUAUAAGGAAGCAGACUGGCUAUGACGGGUGAAAAUAAGGCCAUCGUAAGUGCCCGUCAAUGAGCCAAGAAUGACUGAGCCCUAAAUCCCCAUCUUCCCUCUAACACAUGCUCUUUCAUCAGGGCUACCUCCCGGGAGCUCCAGCAUCCCCAAGGGGUUCGCUUUUCAGCCUCUCUCGUUAGCAUCUCCCUUGUGAGAUGUAACAGACGCAUUCUGUAACGUCGUCCUGGAGUUCUGCAGCUCCUUUGCUGGAGACGGAGCAUUUCUUCACCUCUCAACUGCAGCUGAAGGUGAAAUGUGAAGGAGGUCACUGGCAGGAGAGCCCAGGACGCCCCAGCUUGUGCAGGUGAGCAUUUGGUUCUGCACAGCCUCGACACCAAUCCCGCCACCCCCGGGAUAUGAAAUCUGGGUUAUAUAAAGCCAUUCCUGCCUCAAAACGGUGAGGUUAAAAUAAGGUUGUCCAAGAUGAGAGCUGCCUCGGGAGGACGAUUCACUGCCUGCGCCAAACGUUGAGUACGGGAGGAAACUCGGUGCCCAGUGCUCCAAAGUACAGAAACACACAGGCCGGGAUGAUGGGAGCUUCUUGAGCAUUCAGGGUGUUUGCAGAUGUUCUGGAAAGUGAAUAUGCAGUGAGCUGGCAACAGCUGGAGAUGAUACAAAUCAGCAAGGUGCAUCCAUGGUAAACUAAUGAGGAGUAAAGGAAGGAUCUCAUUAUGUGUACUGGCUGGGGAAAAAAAUUGAUUAAAUUCAGAAUUUGUAGGUUCAGAGUGAUAGGUUAAAGAAAAAAAAACAAACCCAAACCGUUACUGAACAUGAUUCAAGUUUCUCAGAAGUUCACGGAGAGCUGGCUGCAGGGUGUGGGAAGGAGCGCGGCUACCUGCCACAACCGUGUGCUCCUUCCCUGGGUGCUCCCUACCAGGCGCCGUGAAAGGCAGGCUCCUGGCGUGAUGGAUUUGCGCAGUCCCAGCAGGGCAGGGCUAAUUCUUAUAUCUGCAUCCUUCCAUUUAAGUGGCAAACUGUACCGAGCAGGCAGCGUGACAGUCCCCAGUCACAGAGCACUGCGAAGCCGGAGAAUGCCAGAUAAACACACCAGAGAGAGUUUUAUACUGUAUCUAACCACGGUUCCUACUCAUCUCACAGCCCAGGAGAGCCAGCGCUGAAAACUGCACAGGUAAAACAUUUUUAAAGGGUGCAAAGCCCACAUUAUUCCUCCUGUCAGUGUGCCGUGGAAGGCCCACCACGUGAAAGUGGACCCAGGUAAGAAAGUAUAGGACUGUAAGAGAAAUGAUAAAUUGUACUUUAAAGGCAGAUACUUCUUUCCCAGAACACUGAUGUAAUUCCUACAGCCCAAAGAACAAAAGCUUCCCUCUGUAAAUCCAUUUCAAAGAGAGCACUAGAUGGGGAAAUCUGUCACGCUUAGGUAACCGGCAUUGGAAGGGAGCUGCUCUGAGUGGCCCAGGGUUAAUGUAUCAGCAAGUUUCGAUGCUGGAGAUGUAGUAGUUCAGUGACUGGAGAGAAUGGCAGUGAUGGAAACCACUGAAACCAACACGCAGACGCCUUGCAAAGACAGACGGACAGAAGUCAUGUUAUCAAGACCACACAAGUUUGUUUGAGAAGGACCUACUGCCUUCUAAUAGCAUGGGAAAAAAACCCGCCUGACUUUCCAUCUCCAUGGUAACUCCUUCCUCCGAAGCACUGUGAAUGCAGUUUGUUUCCUGUUCCUCUAACUUCUUUGAUGGCUCUAGAACAGAGCAGUCAAGGCUGAAGUGCUGGUGAGGCACCUGCAGCAGGCCAGUAGAUGAAGAACCAUGUCUUUGCCUUUGACAGCAAGCGGCGAGUUGAGCUUCUGUCCCCCCCAGGGAGAUACCUGUGUUACCAUCACUCGGCUGAAUACGUGCGGAAUGAUGACGGACUGCAGAAAAAAGCCACAGGCAAACUCUCCGCCGAAGAGGAUCCACACUGCUCCAGCCUCUCCUCUUGCAGGAGUUAGUACACGAGUUGCACGAGUUGCUUCUAGCAGAGGUCCCAUCUCGGGAGGGAUCCCUCUGUCUGUAUCCCAAAGGGCCUUUGGAGGGGUUAGUGACGGUACAAUAACAGUAUUACUGUAGGUAACUACCCACGCUGGCCUUCGCUCCUCUGAGCAUCCGCACGCCCUUUCGUGUCACUUGUCUCCCCUGUUCACCUUAGAGGACAGCCAUGGUGAGGCCUCAGAAGGGCCAGGCAGGGCGAUGCCGCCGUACAGAACCCUGCGCCAGUCUGACAGAGCGAGACAACGAAAGGGAAUGAUCCUGACUACCAAUACACAAACGGACCGCGAACACGGCAGCAGGACGCUUUGUCAGCAACCAAUAAUGUAGAAUAAGAAAUGAAACUGGUAACGAAGACGUCUGCAGUCACUCCAGAAAACAGUCAAAUAUCCUGGCUGCUUUGGGUUGGCUAAUUACAAAUACCAGCACAGCAAACUACAAGUAAGAAGAUUUACACACAAAAUACAGAAAACAACUUUAUGGAGCUUCCCUACUGCAGAGUAUCUUUAGAAAGCCUUCUAGAAAGCCUUUUACCACAUUACUAAACACACCUUUAUUUAUUAUUUUUUAAGAAAAGAGCAGAAAAGAACUUAAUCCAAACUAAAUAUUUAACCAAUUAUUAACUAACAGUGAUGGAUGGUAAACAGUCCUAGUCCCACGCUAAACCAGGACUUUAAAGCCCAUUUAUCUAAGCUAAAGCUGCUCAAGGGGAAAGGCAAGUUUAUUGAGUAAACUUUGUCUCGGCCACCUCACUAUUAAAACAGUCUACAAACAGAAACUACAUCGUAUAUUCCGUGAGAGAAAAAAACAAAAGGAGCAAGAACCCAACAAACCGUCGCGUGGAGGUGACGGUGCCGCAUGGAGCAAUUAUCCCGCAGUAUAAAAGCAGGGGAAGCACGAAGCUGCAAAGCGGCCACUGUCAGCCCCUCGUGGCCUUGUGUGAAAACAGGAACGAGGGAGGGACCCCCCUCAAUUGCACCCGUUGUUCCCGUUUGGCCUGGGACGGUCAGUCCCACUUGGCCACGAGGAAGGCGUGAGCCUGGGCAGAGUUCGCCAAGGUUUUAUGCAUGUGGAGCCCUCGCUAAGUGCAGCAGAAUUAGCCGCUGCUGCUGCUGGUGAUGAUUAUUAUCACGAUCACUCUGGGGAAGCAGAGCAGCCCUCAGCUCCCACCCCCGCACCCCCCAGCGUGGGACCCCCCCCAAGCCCAGGGUGCCUUUGGCGGGGUGGGGAGGGGCUGCUGGAGCCUGGCUUGCCUCCCCCCAUCGCGGUGGGGUGCAGUACCCCAAGGUGGGGGUCAGCCUCCCCCACCACCGCCCCUGGAGUGGGCAGGUGGGCAGCAGCAGGCGAAGGGUGCAGGCAGGGACGAAGAUUUGCAUGGGAUACUCACGGAGU